rnacentral:rRNA from 1 species
AACGAACGCUGGCGGCAUGCCUAACACAUGCAAGUCGAACGAGACCUUCGGGUCUAGUGGCGCACGGGUGCGUAACGCGUGGGAACCUGCCCUUAGGUUCGGAAUAACUCCCCGAAAGGGGUGCUAAUACCGGAUAAUGUCUUCGGACCAAAGAUUUAUCGCCUUUGGAUGGGCCCGCGUUGGAUUAACUAGUUGGUAGGGUAAAAGCCUACCAAGGCGACGAUCCAUAGCUGGUCUGAGAGGAUGAUCAGCCACACUGGGACUGAGACACAGCCCAGACUCCUACGGGAGGCAGCAGUGGGGAAUAUUGGACAAUGGGCGAAAGCCUGAUCCAGCAAUGCCGCGUGAGUGAUGAAGGCCUUAGGGUUGUAAAGCUCUUUUACCCGGGAUGAUAAUGACAGUACCGGGAGAAUAAGCUCCGGCUAACUCCGUG